AACCCAGUGUGACUCGUCACACUAUCAUUAACUGAAUCCAUAGGUUAAUGAGGCGAACCGGGGGAACUGAAACAUCUAAGUACCCCGAGGAAAAGAAAUCAACCGAGAUUCCCCCAGUAGCGGCGAGCGAACGGGGAGGAGCCCAGAGCCUGAAUCAGCAUGUGUGUUAGUGGAAGCGUCUGGAAAGGCGCGCGAUACAGGGUGACAGCCCCGUACACAAAAGCGCAUGUGCUGUGAGCUCGAUGAGUAGGGCGGGACACGUGGUAUCCUGUCUGAAUAUGGGGGGACCAUCCUCCAAGGCUAAAUACUCCUGACUGACCGAUAGUGAACCAGUACCGUGAGGGAAAGGCGAAAAGAACCCCGGCGAGGGGAGUGAAAAAGAACCUGAAACCGUGUACGUACAAGCAGUGGGAGCCCCACCACCAAAGCAUUUGCUGUACCGCGUUGACGGAGCGAAGCGACGUCAAACCGAUAAAACAGCAGUGUAAAGUGAGCCGCAGGGCGCUUUGCGCGACAGCGCAAAGGCAGGCGGUUUCGCGUAGCGAAAGCGAAUGCUUUGGGGUGGGGUGACUGCGUACCUUUUGUAUAAUGGGUCAGCGACUUAUAUUCUGUAGCAAGGUUAACCGAAUAGGGGAGCCGGAGGGAAACCGAGUCUUAAUUGGGCGUUAAGUUGCAGGGUAUAGACCCGAAACCCGGUGAUCUAGCCAUGGGCAGGUUGAAGGUUGGGUAACACUAACUGGAGGACCGAACCGACUAAUGUUGAAAAAUUAGCGGAUGACCUGUGGCUGGGGGUGAAAGGCCAAUCAAACCGGGAGAUAGCUGGUUCUCCCCGAAAGCUAUUUAGGUAGCGCCUCGUGAAUUCAUCUCCGGGGGUAGAGCACUGUUUCGGCUAGGGGGCCAUCCCGGCUUACCAACCCGAUGCAAACUGCGAAUACCGGAGAAUGUUAUCACGGGAGACACACGGCGGGUGCUAACGUCCGUCGUGAAGAGGGAAACAACCCAGACCGCCAGCUAAGGUCCCAAAGUCAUGGUUAAGUGGGAAACGAUGUGGGAAGGCCCAGACAGCCAGGAUGUUGGCUUAGAAGCAGCCAUCAUUUAAAGAAAGCGUAAUAGCUCACUGGUCGAGUCGGCCUGCGCGGAAGAUGUAACGGGGCUAAACCAUGCACCGAAGCUGCGGCAGCGACACUGUGUGUUGUUGGGUAGGGGAGCGUUCUGUAAGCCUGUGAAGGUGUGUCGUGAGGCAUGCUGGAGGUAUCAGAAGUGCGAAUGCUGACAUAAGUAACGAUAAAGCGGGUGAAAAGCCCGCUCGCCGGAAGACCAAGGGUUCCUGUCCAACGUUAAUCGGGGCAGGGUGAGUCGACCCCUAAGGCGAGGCCGAAAGGCGUAGUCGAUGGGAAACGGGUUAAUAUUCCCGUACUUGGUGUUACUGCGAAGGGGGGACGGAGAAGGCUAUGUUGGCCGGGCGACGGUUGUCCCGGUUUAAGCGUGUAGGUGUGUGUUCCAGGUAAAUCCGGUUCACUUUAACACUGAGGCGUGACGACGAGGCACUACGGUGCUGAAGCAACAAAUGCCCUGCUUCCAGGAAAAGCCUCUAAGCAUCAGGUAACAUCAAAUCGUACCCCAAACCGACACAGGUGGUCAGGUAGAGAAUACCAAGGCGCUUGAGAGAACUCGGGUGAAGGAACUAGGCAAAAUGGUGCCGUAACUUCGGGAGAAGGCACGCUGACACGUAGGUGAAGUGAUUUACUCAUGGAGCUGAAGUCAGUCGAAGAUACCAGCUGGCUGCAACUGUUUAUUAAAAACACAGCACUGUGCAAACACGAAAGUGGACGUAUACGGUGUGACGCCUGCCCGGUGCCGGAAGGUUAAUUGAUGGGGUCAGCGCAAGCGAAGCUCCUGAUCGAAGCCCCGGUAAACGGCGGCCGUAACUAUAACGGUCCUAAGGUAGCGAAAUUCCUUGUCGGGUAAGUUCCGACCUGCACGAAUGGCGUAAUGAUGGCCAGGCUGUCUCCACCCGAGACUCAGUGAAAUUGAACUCGCUGUGAAGAUGCAGUGUACCCGCGGCAAGACGGAAAGACCCCGUGAACCUUUACUAUAGCUUGACACUGAACAUUGAGCCUUGAUGUGUAGGAUAGGUGGGAGGCUUUGAAGUGUGGACGCCAGUCUGCAUGGAGCCGACCUUGAAAUACCACCCUUUAAUGUUUGAUGUUCUAACGUGGACCCGUUACCCGGGUUGCGGACAGUGUCUGGUGGGUAGUUUGACUGGGGCGGUCUCCUCCUAAAGAGUAACGGAGGAGCACGAAGGUUGGCUAAUCCUGGUCGGACAUCAGGAGGUUAGUGCAAUGGCAUAAGCCAGCUUGACUGCGAGCGUGACGGCGCGAGCAGGUGCGAAAGCAGGUCAUAGUGAUCCGGUGGUUCUGAAUGGAAGGGCCAUCGCUCAACGGAUAAAAGGUACUCCGGGGAUAACAGGCUGAUACCGCCCAAGAGUUCAUAUCGACGGCGGUGUUUGGCACCUCGAUGUCGGCUCAUCACAUCCUGGGGCUGAAGUAGGUCCCAAGGGUAUGGCUGUUCGCCAUUUAAAGUGGUACGCGAGCUGGGUUUAGAACGUCGUGAGACAGUUCGGUCCCUAUCUGCCGUGGGCGCUGGAGAACUGAGGGGGGCUGCUCCUAGUACGAGAGGACCGGAGUGGACGCAUCACUGGUGUUCGGGUUGUCAUGCCAAUGGCACUGCCCGGUAGCUAAAUGCGGAAGAGAUAAGUGCUGAAAGCAUCUAAGCACGAAACUUGCCCCGAGAUGAGUUCUCCCUGAGACUUAGAGUCUCCUGAAGGAACGUUGAAGACGACGACGUUGAUAGGCCGGGUGUGUAAGCGCAGCGAUGCGUUGAGCUAACCGGUACUAAUGAACCGUGAGGCUUAACCUUACAACGCCGAAG
rnacentral:rRNA from 1 species